rnacentral:lncRNA from 1 species
CUUAAUUCAAUUUCUCUAAAGCAUUUCAUAGGGCUGUCUAGUCUGCAGAAGACUUGUAGUUACAGAAGAAAUAAGUAGAUCAGGUUGGAAACUUGAGAUAAACUUCCACAGAAGAAU